UGGCUCAGAACGAACGCUGGCGGCGCGUCUUAAGCAUGCAAGUCGAGCGGUAAGCUGUAGCAAUACAGCCUAGAGCGGCGGACUGGUGAGUAACACGUGGGUGACCUACCCUUAGGAUGGGGAUAGCCACUAGAAAUAGUGGGUAAUACCGAAUGUGGUUACCGGGCUGUGGCCUGGUAAAGAAAGGAGCUUUGGCUCCGCCUGAGGAUGGGCCCGCGUCCCAUUAGCUCGUUGGUGAGGUAACGGCCCACCAAGGCGAUGAUGGGUAGCCGGCCUGAGAGGGUGAACGGCCACACUGGGACUGAGAUACGGCCCAGACUCCUACGGGAGGCAGCAGCUAAGAAUAUUCCGCAAUGGACGAAAGUCUGACGGAGCGACGCCGCGUGGAUGAUGAAGGCCGAAAGGUUGUAAAAUCCUUUUGUCGAUGAAGAAUAAGCAUGGGAGGGAAUGCCCGUGUGAUGACGUUAGUCGGCGAAUAAGCCCCGGCUAAUUACGUGCCAGCAGCCGCGGUAACACGUAAGGGGCGAGCGUUGUUCGGAAUUAUUGGGCGUAAAGGGCGCGUAGGCGGUCCUGUAAGCCCGGCGUGAAAACCUGGAGCUCAACUCCGGGCCUGCGCUGGGAACUGCGGGACUAGAGUCAUGGAAGGGAAGUUGGAAUUCCAGGUGUAGGGGUGAAAUCUGUAGAUAUCUGGAAGAACACCGGUGGCGAAGGCGAACUUCUGGCCAAUGACUGACGCUGAGGCGCGAAAGUGCGGGGAGCAAACAGGAUUAGAUACCCUGGUAGUCCGCACCAUAAACGAUGUACACUAGGCGUUGGGUCGAGUGACUCAGUGCCGAAGCUAACGUGAUAAGUGUACCGCCUGGGGAGUAUGCCCGCAAGGGUGAAAC
rnacentral:rRNA from 1 species